rnacentral:misc_RNA from 1 species
AGAAAGCCCGCAAGGGUGAGUACAGCGGCGCACGGGCGCGUAACACGUGGGUAAUCUACCUCGAAGUCUGGAAUAACUCCCCGAAAGGGGUGCUAAUGCCGGAUGAGACCACGGGAGCCCCGGCUCCCGAGGGAAAAGAUGGCCUCUGCAUGCAAGCUAUCGCUUCGAGAUGAGCCCGCGGCCCAUCAGCUCGUUGGCGGGGUAACGGCCCACCAAGGCUACGACGGGUAGCUGGUCUGAGAGGACGAUCAGCCACACUGGAACUGAGACACGGUCCAGACUCCUACGGGAGGCAGCAG